rnacentral:lncRNA from 1 species
ACCACAUUGGAACAAGCUUAUCAACUUGCUUUAGACUUUGAAAGAUUUUUUAGAUAUUCGACUCUCCAUCAUUCUGAACCCAGCCGAGUAAUCCCUUCUGGAUCGAGACCUAAUAUUAAUCAAACUCCUAGUAAUGGACCUUCACUUACAAAUCCUAUUGGAAGAAAAGAAGAUAAAGAAAAAGAAGCUAUAGGAGAGUUAUCAAAAGGAAGUAAUUCUUGAUUCCAUUGGUUCAAGUGCCAUGGUUAUGGUCACUUUACUGUACAAUGCCCCAAC